rnacentral:rRNA from 1 species
UGCUCCUACGGGACGCAGCAGUAGGGAAUAUUGCACAAUGGGGGAAACCCUGAUGCAGCGACGCCGCGUGAAGGAUGAAGUAUUUCGGUAUGUAAACUUCUAUCAGCAAGGAAGAAAAUGACGGUACCUGAGUAAGAAGCCCCGGCUAACUACGUGCCAGCAGCCGCGGUAAUACGUAGGGGGCAAGCGUUAUCCGGAUUUACUGGGUGUAAAGGGAGCGUAGACGGCAGUGCAAGUCUGGAGUGAAAGGCGGGGGCUCAACCCCCGGACUGCUCUGGAAACUGUACGGCUGGAGUGCAGGAGAG